GUCCACGCCCUAAACGAUGUCAACUGGUUGUUGGGUCUUAACUGACUCAGUAACGAAGCUAACGCGUGAAGUUGACCGCCUGGGGAGUACGGCCGCAAGGUUGAAACUCAAAGGAAUUGACGGGGACCCCGCACAAGCGGUGGAUGAUGUGGUUUAAUUCGAUGCAACGCGAAAAACCUUACCCACCUUUGACAUGUACGGAAGGAUCCAGAGAUGGAUUUGUGCUCGAAAGAGAACCGUAACACAGGUGCUGCAUGGCUGUCGU
rnacentral:rRNA from 1 species